CGAGAUCGUGACCUGGCUGAAGUCGGACGCUUAACCGACUGCACCACCCAGGUGCCCCAGGGCUACUGACUUUCUAUGUAUGAUGACUUUAACAGUGAAAAUUGCGGACUCCUUCCUGAAAUUUCUACAAUGUGAAGUUGCUAAAGUGUAGAAAGGGAGGCUGUACACCGAGGCAGCGAGUGUAGAGGAGACCCAGGAUAGAAAUUGUCUGAGACCCUCAGAGCUGUCAGGUUCUGCGACAAGCAUCCCUAACCACUGUCCAGCACCGGGCAACUUUCAGGAAUGCUAAUUGGACAUACUUGGCCAAGUUGAACAAGAUUCCAAAAUGAGCUUUUAACGAAUGGCUGAAUUAUCUGAUAUCACUAAAUAUCUGCCAGGAACUGCACUAGGAUGGGACAAUAUAUCUGAAAGAGAAUCAAGCACUUUGGUUCUCAAGGACAUCACAGGCUAAUAAGAUUUAGACACUCAAGCUUCUGAUGACAGUACAGACUGCUGAGGACAAGACUAAUAUUCCAAUAUAUGUCAUCCCAAGUAUGAGAGGAGUUGCUCCUGGUGAGGCUGUGCAAACCCAGACUCUUCUCCUAACCACCUGAGCAUUGGUUUAUGUCAGGUCUGUUUAGCAGUUGGAGGAAAAAAUAACAGGGGAUUUGAAAACCUGAGUCCCAAUGUCUCCUAAGGGACCAGUGUGCUAUGAGAAAGCACCCUCUCCAUGGACGCUUCCAGACUGCAUACAAGGAAAAUGCCAAAGAAACUUCUCAAGCUUUCAGGAUGAGUAGCCAUCAUUCACAAAGUGUAAUUAUAUGUUUACUUCAUGGAAUCUAAGCUUUGUGAGAGCAGAAUCAUGUUAUUUGUUUGCUUUAUCUUUAGCUCCUAUCAUACAGUGGCAUGUGAUAUGUGUUGUUAACAGAGUGAUUGUCAUUUAGAAGAAUCCACAGACCAAACUAGUUAAAAAUAAAAGGAGAUUUUUUCUUCCAAGUUUUUAUUUAAAUUUGUCAGUUAAUAUACAGUGUAAUACCACCUCUGGGUGUAAGAUCCAGCAAUUCAUCACCUACACAAAACACCCAGUGCCCAUCACAACAAGUGCCCUGCUUAAUACCCAUCACUCAUUUAACCAACCUCCUGCAGC